UACAGAGGGGGCAAGCGUUGUUCGGAAUUACUGGGCGUAAAGGGCGCGUAGGCGGCCUUCUAAGUCGAACGUGAAAUCCCCGGGCUCAACCCGGGAACUGCGUCCGAUACUGGAAGGCUUGAAUCCGGGAGAGGGAUGCGGAAUUCCAGGUGUAGCGGUGAAAUGCGUAGAUAUCUGGAGGAACACCGGUGGCGAAGGCGGCAUCCUGGACCGGCAUUGACGCGUGACGGCGCGAAAGCCAGGGGAGCAA
rnacentral:rRNA from 1 species